rnacentral:rRNA from 1 species
AACGAACGCUGGCGGCAGGCCUAACACAUGCAAGUCGAACGAUGUAGCAAUACAUAGUGGCGCACGGGUGAGUAAUGCAUGGGAACGUACCUUUUAGUGGGGGAUAACUCCGGGAAACUGGAGCUAAUACCGCAUACGCCCUUCGGGGGAAAGAUUUAUCGCUAAAAGAUCGGCCCAUGUGAGAUUAGGUAGUUGGUGGGGUAAUGGCCUACCAAGCCUACGAUCUCUAGCUGGUCUCAGAGGAUGAUCAGCCACACUGGAACUGAGACACGGUCCAGACUCCUACGGGAGGAAGCAGUGGGGAAUAUUGGACAGUGGGCGCAAGCCUGAUCCAGCCAUGCCGCGUGAGUGAUGAAGGCUCUAGGGUUGUAAAGCUCUUUCGCCGAUGAAGAUAAUGACGGUAGUCGGAGAAGAAGCCCCGGCUAACUUCGUGCCAGCCGCCGCCGUAA